rnacentral:rRNA from 1 species
GACGAACGCUGGCGGCGUGCUUAACACAUGCAAGUCGAACGGAAAGGCCCUGCUUUUGUGGGGUGCUCGAUUGGCGAACGGGUGAGUAACACGUGAGUAACCUGCCCUUGACUUUGGGAUAACUUCAGGAAACUGGGGCUAAGAUCGGAUAGGAGCUCCCCCUGCAUGGUGGGGGUUGGAACGUUUCGGCGGUUGGGGAUGGACUCGCGGCUUAUCAGCUGGUUGGUGGGGUAGUGGCUUACCAAGGCUUUGACGGGUAGCCGGCCUGAGAGGGUGACCGGCCACAUUGGGACUGAGAUACGGCCCAGACUCCUACGGGAGGCAGCAGUGGGGAAUAUUGCACAAUGGGCGGAAGCCUGAUGCAGCAACGCCGCGUGCGGGAUGACGGCCUUCGGGUUGUAAACCGCUUUCGCCUGUGACGAAGCGUGAGUGACGGUAAUGUGUAAAGAAGCACCGGCUAACUACGUG